rnacentral:rRNA from 1 species
GACGAACGCUGGCGGCGUGCCUAACACAUGCAAGUCGAACGAAAUUACGAAGAAAGCUUGCUUUAAUCGUAAUUUAGUGGCGGACGGGUGAGUAACGCGUGAGGACUUGUCGGAUACAGGGGGACAACAGAUGGAAACGUCUGCUAAUACCCCAUAAGCCUUCGGGUAAAAGGAGCAAUCCGGUAUUUGAGAGACUCGCGUUCUAUCAGCUAGUAGGUGGGGUAACGGCCCACCUAGGCCAAGACGGAUAGCCGGACUGAGAGGUCGACCGGCCACACUGGAACUGAGAGACGGUCCAGACUCCUACGGGAGGCAGCAGUGGGGAAUAUUGGGCAAUGGGGGGAACCCUGACCCAGCGACGCCGCGUGGGUGAAGAAAUC